GACAUACUACGGUGCAUCGUUGUGGAAAGUAAACGAUGACCCAUAAGGAACUCUGGGUUAAAAUACGUAUCAAAAUGCAAAACCUCCAGGCCCUGAGCUUCCCUUUGGGUCUGGUUUAUUU
rfam:Erwinia billingiae strain Eb661 complete chromosome.